rnacentral:rRNA from 1 species
GACGAACGCUGGCGGCGUGCUUAACACAUGCAAGUCGAACGGUGAAGCGCCUCCCUUUUUGGUUGGUGUGGAUGCGUGGCGAACGGGUGAGUAACACGUGAGUACCCUGCCCCCUUCUUUUGGAUAACCGCAUUAAAGUGUGUCUAAUACGGGAUCUUCUGGGUCUGUCGCAUGAUGGGUCUGGGUCAGCUAUUGUUUCGGUGGGGGAUGGGCUCGCGGCCUAUCAGCUUGUUGGUGGUGUGAUGGCCUUGCAAGGCGGUGCCGGGUAGCCGGCCUGAGAGGGUAGACGGCCAGAGAGGGAGAGAGACAACGCCGAGACUGCUACGGGAGGCAGAAGUGGAGGAUAUGGCACAGUGGGCGAAAGCGUAAUGCAGGGACGACGCGGAAGGAAUAGAGGCCUGCGGGUUGUGAACCUCUUUCGGCAGUGAAGCAGGCCUGCCUCGUUUGUAGGUGGGGUGACGGUAGCUGGAAAAGAAGCGCCGGCUAACUACGUG